CAAAAACAUGUCUUUUUGUAAAAAUAUAAAGUCUAACCUGCCCUAUGAAAAUUUAAAUGGCCGCGGUAUAUUAACCGUGCUAAGGUAGCAUAAUCAUUAGUUUUUUAAUUGAAAGCUGGAAUGAAGGGUUGGAUAAAAAAAUAACUGUCUCUAUAAAAAUGAUUGAAUUUUAUUUUUAAGUUAAAAAGCUUAAAUUUUUUUAAAAGACGAGAAGACCCUAUAGAGUUUAAUAUAAAAUCUAAUUAUUUUUUUUAGUAUUUAUUUAAAUAAUUAGAUUUUAUAUUUAGUUGGGGUGAUUGAAAAAUUAAAUGAACUUUUUUUGUAUAAAAAUAUAUUUUUAUAAAUUAUUGAUCCAAAAAUUUUGAUUAUAAGAUAAAAUUACCUUAGGGAUAACAGCGUAAUUUUAUUAGAGAGUUCUUAUUGAUAAUAAAGAUUGCGACCUCGAUGUUGGAUUAAAAUUUAUAAUUGGUGCAGAAGCUAUAUUAUUAAGUCUGUUCGACUUUUAAAAUUUUACAUGAUCUGAG
rnacentral:rRNA from 1 species